CAUCUAUUCUUUUAUUUUACGUUUUUAUUACUUCUUUUUUAUUCUACUAAGACACGAUUUGGUGCAAUAAAAUUUACUAAUUCGAAUUCACCCUUUUCCCUUUUUCCUUUUUUAUCAGGUUCCUCUCGUUCUUCGUGGAGACGCCCCACCCAGCGCUCGGGCACAGGUCGGGCAUCCAUCUCUAACCGCUGUGACCCGCGGAGACGCCCAUGACGCUGAGGCAGCCACUGAGAGCGAUGAGGAGGCACAUGAAUCGUCUGCCGAGAAAGAGGAUUCACAGCAUAAUGCAUAGGUCAGUCACCAUUAAAAACAGCUUCGUGGCAAUGCCCUUACAGGGCAUUGCCACGAGAGUGCCCUAAGCGUUUUGCUUAUCAACGCUGCAGCAUUUCAACACAAACAAACAAAAAUGUAUAAAUGAUAGCCCAACUAUAUUUUCCUGUUUUUCGUUAACUUAUGAUUGUGUCUGUCGUUUGAAGAAAUACACUGUUACCUCGAACACGACUGGCUUGUGAAUGAACUGACUUCCUUCGUUCACUCGAACACUUUUCCACAGCAUGUCUGUUUGUUGUCUGUUUUUACACGUUAUUUCAUUUCAUCUGUGGAAUAUUCCCGCCUAGAUCUGCCUGUUUUCUUUUAGUAUUAUUUGUGUAUUUCCUUUGUAUUAAUUUUUCACGGUUACUCGUGAUAUGUAAUUAACAAUGAGCAUCUAUUUGAUCAUUAUGAAUCUUUAACUGUGAAUUUUAUUGGUUGAUUAAUCUGUAAAAAAAAGAAAUCUAAAUAAAGACCAGAUGUGUAG